AAAUUGAAGAGUUUGAUCAUGGCUCAGAUUGAACGCUGGCGGCAGGCCUAACACAUGCAAGUCGAACGGUAGCACAGAGAGCUUGCUCUCGGGUGACGAGUGGCGGACGGGUGAGUAAUGUCUGGGAAACUGCCUGAUGGAGGGGGAUAACUACUGGAAACGGUGGCUAAUACCGCAUAACGUCGCAAGACCAAAGAGGGGGACCUUCGGGCCUCUUGCCAUCAGAUGUGCCCAGAUGGGAUUAGCUGGUUGGUGAGGUAACGGCUCACCAAGGCGACGAUCCCUAGCUGGUCUGAGAGGAUGACCAGCCACACUGGAACUGAGACACGGUCCAGACUCCUACGGGAGGCAGCAGUGGGGAAUAUUGCACAAUGGGCGCAAGCCUGAUGCAGCCAUGCCGCGUGUAUGAAGAAGGCCUUCGGGUUGUAAAGUACUUUCAGCGGGGAGGAAGGUGUUGUGGUUAAUAACCGCAGCAAUUGACGUUACCCGCAGAAGAAGCACCGGCUAACUCCGUGCCAGCAGCCGCGGUAAUACGGAGGGUGCAAGCGUUAAUCGGAAUUACUGGGCGUAAAGCGCACGCAGGCGGUCUGUCAAGUCGGAUGUGAAAUCCCCGGGCUCAACCUGGGAACUGCAUUCGAAACUGGCAGGCUUGAGUCUUGUAGAGGGGGGUAGAAUUCCAGGUGUAGCGGUGAAAUGCGUAGAGAUCUGGAGGAAUACCGGUGGCGAAGGCGGCCCCCUGGACAAAGACUGACGCUCAGGUGCGAAAGCGUGGGGAGCAAACAGGAUUAGAUACCCUGGUAGUCCACGCCGUAAACGAUGUCUACUUGGAGGUUGUGCCCUUGAGGCGUGGCUUCCGGAGCUAACGCGUUAAGUAGACCGCCUGGGGAGUACGGCCGCAAGGUUAAAACUCAAAUGAAUUGACGGGGGCCCGCACAAGCGGUGGAGCAUGUGGUUUAAUUCGAUGCAACGCGAAGAACCUUACCUGGUCUUGACAUCCACGGAAGUUUUCAGAGAUGAGAAUGUGCCUUCGGGAACCGUGAGACAGGUGCUGCAUGGCUGUCGUCAGCUCGUGUUGUGAAAUGUUGGGUUAAGUCCCGCAACGAGCGCAACCCUUAUCCUUUGUUGCCAGCGGUUAGGCCGGGAACUCAAAGGAGACUGCCAGUGAUAAACUGGAGGAAGGUGGGGAUGACGUCAAGUCAUCAUGGCCCUUACGACCAGGGCUACACACGUGCUACAAUGGCGCAUACAAAGAGAAGCGACCUCGCGAGAGCAAGCGGACCUCAUAAAGUGCGUCGUAGUCCGGAUUGGAGUCUGCAACUCGACUCCAUGAAGUCGGAAUCGCUAGUAAUCGUGGAUCAGAAUGCCACGGUGAAUACGUUCCCGGGCCUUGUACACACCGCCCGUCACACCAUGGGAGUGGGUUGCAAAAGAAGUAGGUAGCUUAACCUUCGGGAGGGCGCUUACCACUUUGUGAUUCAUGACUGGGGUGAAGUCGUAACAAGGUAACCGUAGGGGAACCUGCGGUUGGAUCACCUCCUUACCUUAAAGAAGC
rnacentral:rRNA from 1 species